rnacentral:rRNA from 1 species
AUUGAACGCUGGCGGCAGGCCUAACACAUGCAAGUCGAGCGGAUGAGGGGAGCUUGCUCCUGGGUUCAGCGGCGGACGGGUGAGUAAUGCCUAGGAAUCUGCCUGGUAGUGGGGGAUAACGUCCGGAAACGGGCGCUAAUACCGCAUACGUCCUGAGGGAGAAAGUGGGGGAUCUUCGGACCGCACGCUAUCAGAUGAGCCUAGGUCGGAUUAGCUAGUUGGUGGGGUAAAGGCCUACCAAGGCGCCGACCCGUAACUGGUCUGAGAGGAUGACCAGUGACACUCGAACUGAGACAAGGUCCCGACUCCGCAGGGAGGCAGCAGUGCGGACUGUUGUCCAUGGGGCGAAAGCUUGAUCCAGGCGGGGCGCGCGCGGGACGAAAGUCCUCGGAUCGUAAAGCCCUCUGCGUUGGGAUGAAAGGCUGUAGGUUUUGCCCUUGCUGCCCGGACGUUACCCACAGAAUAAGAACAGGAUCACCUCGUC